GAAAUGCGAUAAGUAAUGUGAAUUGCAGAAUUCAGUGAAUCAUCGAAUCUUUGAACGCACAUUGCGCCCGCCAGUAUUCUGGCGGGCAUGCCUGUUCGAGCGUCAUUUCAACCAUCAAGCCCCCGGCUUGUGUUGGGGACCUACGGCUGCCCGCAGGCCCUGAAAACAGUGGCGGGCUCGCUGUCACACCGAGCGUAGUAGCAUACAUUCUCGCUCAGGGCGUGCUGCGGGUUCCGGCCGUUAAACGACCUUCAUAACCCAAGGUUGACCUCGGAUCAGGUAGGAAGACCCGCUGAACUUAAGC
rnacentral:misc_RNA from 1 species